rnacentral:rRNA from 1 species
GAUGAACGCUGGCGGUGUGCCUAAUACAUGCAAGUCGAGCGAACAGACGAGGAGCUUACUCCUCUGACGUUAGCGGCGGACGGGUGAGUAACACGUGGAUAACCUACCUAUAAGACUGGGAUAACUUCGGGAAACCGGAGCUAAUACCGGAUAACAUGUUGAACCGCAUGGUUCAACAGUGAAAGACGGUCUUGCUGUCACUUAUAGAUGGAUCCGCGUCGCAUUAGCUAGUUGGUAAGGUAACGGCUUACCAAGGCAACGAUGCGUAGCCGACCUGAGAGGGUGAUCGGCAACACUGGAACUGAGACACGGUCCAGACUCCUACGGGAGGCAGCAGUAGGGAAUCUUCCGAAAUGGGCGAAAGCCUGACGGAGCAACGCCGCGUGAGUGAAGAAGGUCUUCGGAUCGUAAAACUCUGUUAUUAGGGAAGAACAAAUGUGUAAGUAACUAUACACGUCUUGACGGUACCUAAUCAGAAAGCCACGGCUAACUACGUG